rnacentral:tRNA from 1 species
GGAUUGUAGCUUAGUGGUAGAGCACAUGCCUUGUCUGAGUGAGGUCCUGGGUUCAAUCCUCAGCACCA